rnacentral:miRNA from 10 species
GAUCAGGCCUAACCCUCUGGCCCCAAACCCUGUGGCCCCAGCUGGAGGAUGAGGAGAUGCUGGGCUUGGAUGGGGGAAUCGGGGGUAAAGGGACCUGCU